rnacentral:lncRNA from 1 species
UCCGUUUCCUCAGCCGCCACAACUGCCCACUCCUGAUUCCGGCGAUUCCGGCAGCUAUCGCCGGCGCGGUGCACACCACCGAUCUCGGCUCGCUCGGCUCCGUCCUCCCGCCGGCAAGAUUUUCCCUUCCCGGCCUCUACCGCUCGCCCAAAUCCCACACCCGUGCUAGGGUUUCGGCCUCUGGCAUCGCCUUCGUUAUUGGCGCAUCUCCGACGGCCUCUGGCGGCCCUUCUCCACCGUCUUUAGCUCCCCCACGUGCGCCCUCGCCUUCUGAUGUUCCACCUCGAGCAGGGCGGCGCGGAGGAUCUCCUCCCGCAGGAUCCAUGGUGGUAGCGCACCCUGCAGCCGCCGGUCCGGGAGGAGGGCAGACACUGCGUCCUUGUCCUGCUCAAUGACGGUUGCGGCGAACGCCGGUGCUGCUCCUCAUUCUCGACCUUCAAGGAGGAGCGCUGGUACAGCAGAAGGACGCCCUGCCCCUGAACAAUGGCCAUGGCGCCAGGUAAGGUUGUGCUGCCGUGCCUAUAUUUCCUGGAGUGAACAAUUUGAUGGGCCAGAUUGCUUGUGCUAGAUGUGGUUAGUCUGUAGUGGUCAUCUUGUUUUUAAUUUUGGGGACAACUUGCUGCUUCUGCUGUCAAAUAUGCAAUUUAAUCUGUUACCAGAAGCGGGCUGCCUGCUUCGUUGCGCCACUUUUUUUUGCAGGUUAACAAUCUGUUUGUUUAGUUGUUCGUGGGUCUGUUGCGUCUUUUUGCUGUGUAUUGGGCGUUGCCCUGCUAGAUGCAUAUAAGAUUUGCAUGUAUACACACAUGUGUUGAGCAUUGGUAAUCAUGAUUUUCAGUAGUCCUGAAUUAUAAGCUCAGGCAAGCAUACCCAUUUCGGUGUUGUCACUACAAAAUAUAUACAGCAAAGGGCGAAACAAUAAUGAAAUACUGUGAGCGUGUUUUAUUCUUGUGCAAUCAAACAAGCUGUCCUUGUUUUAGCUUUCCUUUUAUGAGAAAGCCACUGCACAAAAAUACAAAUGAUUGUAAAAGGAAAGAAAACAUUUUCACACAACUAAUAAAAACAAGAAAACAUUAAGAUAUGUGGCAUGUGUCCAAUUUACAUGUAGCUGCAGCUCGUAUUCACCAGCACCAUGGGCAGGUAGGGUGGACUCUAUCUUGGCCUCUUGGGUCUCAUCAUCACAAAAGUUCAUUAAACUUGCAUACCUGCAUCAUAUGCAAAUGUCGAAAAUUGCAACAUAUGUAUAGCGCAUCAUGUCAUCAAUUGCUUCCAGCCAUCAAAUUAUUAAGUGACAUGUACUAUGCUUUAUGUGUGUCGGAAGCUAUGCAACAACUUAUUUUCUUUAGUCUCGAAUUUUGUAGCAACCAGUCACCCGUUCACUUACACGACAAUGACCGGAGCCUAGAAAUAGUACUGUAAAUAUAUAGUUCUGUUCCACAUUUAGUCUACUGUGCAAGAUUGUCACAAUUAGUAACCCGAUACUUUCAGGCACUCAUUUGUUUUGGAUAAACAUACCCUUUUAUUAAAUUAACAUAUACAAUUCAGUCAAAAAAAUUAUCAUAUACAAACCAUUCUUUCUUAAAAAAUCUAUAUUGUUAGAAGAGUGUUCAAAGAUUUACUUAUUCAAAUAGAAUAGAUCAUGAAGAAAUGCUAAUGCCAAUUAUAUUUAGAAAAAACUUACCAAUUAAUUGGCAAUAAAUUAAUCAUAGCUGCAGCCUGCAGUACAGAGUUAUUGAUAUUUAUCCGAGGCUACAGCUGUAGCCUACACAAUCUUAAUACACACAUAGGAGAAGAGAACUUGAAGGGGAGAAAUUCUGAACCAUAGUUGUAGCUGGAUAUAAAGAUAAAAAAUAACAUAUAUGAUAUAGACUUAGGACCUGUUCUACAACCAGCACUCAACAAUUUACAGGUAAACAAACACGCACAAGACUUUGCUGAAUAAUUUGAAGCACUGGAGAUAACAUACGAAGCAACAAAAUGAUGUCUUUUGGUUACUUGGUGUACUUGGCUGUACUAUUUAUUAGGGUUGAUUUCUGUGCUACUAAUGACUACUGCCUUCUCCACCCAUCCAAUGGUGUACAGGACGUCCUCCUCCUUGAUGCGGCUGUCCCCAACGAGCUCUCUUCGCCGGAGGAGGUGGAGCAGCAUGUCCAGCACCCCCUUGGCCUCCUAUCAUGCAGCACAUGGACGAGCUCACUGACAACUGCGUUCUGCCCUCCUAGUGUGGUGAGCUUCUCCCAUCUCCCCCCUUUACGCCAAAAUCUGGAUGAUACCUGCAAUCUAAAUACGAAUCAUGUUUUUGUUCAGUUUAGUGGUGAAUUCAAUUGCUUAGAUGAACAUGUGAGGUUUGUUAGUUGCCGAUGCUUAUGUGGAUCUGGUUCUCUUGCACUGUUACACAUAAUUUAAUCAAGGCAAGCUAAUGCUAAUCCAUAGUAUGAUAUAGCUAAAAAAUCUAAAAUGUACAGGUCUUCAUGUUGCUUUGGUACAGAUCUUUUGGGAGUUAAUUUGGUAACUUCAACCUGUUAGAUAUAAAUUCAGCUGUGACUAUAUCUUGCCAGAACCGACUUGUUUUGCAGAUGCGUGUAUGUAGUACUUGAGAAAAAACCUAAUUAUUUAACUGAAACACUGUCUAAUUAUUAAUUGGAAAUAACUAUAAAUUUGGAUGUCAUAAAAAAAUGCAUAAAUAUCAAGAAACCACACACAUUGUCAGAAUAUGCAAGCCGUUUAUCUGGAUUAUAUAUCAUGCUAAGUAAUCAUAUAUAUGUAGCGCAGCAUCCAUGUGUUAGUAUGUAUGAUUUCCUAGAUAUACACAUAUUAAAAGGAAAAUAAUAUAUUCGGAUUUCAACUUAGUUUUGACAUGUUUAACUUGCAUGGAUUUAUAAAUUGUAGUUUAGCCGUGUCUGUUGUUAUGUUGAUGUGACUUUUCUGAUCAGUUCAAGUGUUGAGAGUUGCAAAAUUGGAAUUAACCUUCUCUCUUGAUGCCCAAAAACAUCCUUUUAAUGCUACAGGAAUAGCUCCAGAGUUGAUGAUGAUCUUUAGCCUGGUAAGAUAAGGUAGAAAAGUAUGGCUAACUGGAUGUUUAGCCUGUUGUGUGAAUUAAAAAGAACUGAGAGAUGAUAAAACAUUCAUAUAUGUAGGUCAGAUUCUAUUACAAAUAUAUGUAGGUCACUGUAAUAGUAUUUUCUCAUUGAAAAUGGAGAAAAUGUACUACGUGAUAAGUAGGCGGGAACUAAAAAAUUGUUAGUCGAUGUGUAUUGCAUAUAUCUUUUUGUUUGGAUGCCAAAAAUUAUCUUCUUUCUGGCUUGAUUAACUUCCUUUUUUCUGUCCAAUCCAUUUUGAAUGAGAUUACUACCAAUAACAGAUAGUAUGGAGGGGGAAACAAUGUUUUACUAUAAUUACAUUGUCUUCACUUAGAGUUAUCUUCUAAUGUCACCAGCAACUGUUUCUAUGUUACCUCGCAGAUUCACUCCAUAUAAGACACUUAUAAUAUUGUGCAAAUAACUAGCUACCAUUAUGAAGUGUGCAUUACUAGCUACCAUUAUGAAGUGUGCAUUAUUUAUUUGAGAUAUGACAUAUCAUCCUAAUUGUGUAGUUCCUAGAAUUCAUGUGUCACUGUAUUGAAUCCCUAGAUGAUCUCCUUGGACUAACAUGCCAAAGUUAAUCUUAGAUAUGGUGAACUAUAAAUUUAUAAUGAUCAAAACUAUUUGUAUUGAUGUUAAUUAAAGUGUGUACCAAGCAUUUGAUGGUUUGGGAACGAAGUAUGAAUAUUGAAUGCUAUACAAUCAGAAUGUGUUAUACUAACUUUUUAGGCCUUUUUAGCUAAAUAUGUAAGGGCAGGUAAUGCCCGUCAUAUAUUGAAGUGUGAUACUACAUAAUAUUUGUUGUAUCUAUAGUCGGACUAUUUUUAUAUGUGUAAUAAUACAUACAAAAACUGACUUCUACUUGAUCUAAUCCUUUAUGUCUUCUACACAAUAUCUGUUGUAUAUGUAGUCGGACUAUUUUUAUCUAUAGGACUAUCUUACAAAUGUCUUUUCAUCUAGAUUAAUCGUAAGCCACAUAUGCCAGAUCUUUUUCUUGUGGAGUAUCAUAUUAGAUAGGACACAUAUUCCACCAAGACAUAAUCAUUAUGGAAUUGUUUCAUUCUUUUUUACCUUCUGAGAUGAAAAACAAUGGCUAGGUAUUUUCAUUAAUGCACAUUAUUCAGUUGGGCUGCAUUAUCAAGUUUAUUGUGGUGAUUGUUUAAAAUAAGAAAAACGGAGUUUACUUCCAACUCUAUUGGUCUAUGUAUGCUCAUCAUUUCUUUUUGUUGCCACUAGUUGUUUCUUUUCACACCUUGGUUAAUUUGUUGCACUACUUUGCAUCCUGGGAGUGAAAAAAUAUAGAACUUGAUAAUCUGUAGUAAGCUACUUGUAGUUUAACCUACUGGCUGUAAUAUUUUAUAACGCGACAUAUUUUUCAUCAUGUGGCAGAUAUUGGUUAUGGGAGCAUUUUUAACAAGAAAGACAUGCGUUUUGACAACUUUGGCAUGAACGGGUGGAUUUGCUGCUUGGAUGACCCCUAGUUGGUGUGUGGCUGCCUGAUAAGAGUGGCCAUCGCUUUGUGGGCGUGGUGCUGGUUGUAGAGUAGGAUAGUGUUCUUCGGCACAUGCUUGUAAAAUUAAUGUUUUUUGGGUCUUUUUUUACGCUCCUGUAGAGGUGUAUUUUUGGAUAUGUUUGUAAUUUUUUUUCUAAUGACAUGAGCAUAUACUUUCUGUCAAAUUCUUAUUGGUGUAAAUUUUCCAUGGAAAAUGAGAGAUGCGUGAAUCUCUUGGACUGAAAUUAGUGGGCCUUGAAAUUAAUGGGCUUAAAUUAUAAUUGGGUUGAUUACUAUAUGGGCCGCCACUCUUGGACAG